CUGAGCCAAUUGCCUGAGACCAGGACAUGCAGGAAAUCUGAACUGGUAUGUUUGGUUCAUUUCAAAGUGUGCAGAGCCGUGCCCUGGUUCCCUGGAGGACAGUUAGAAACUUUUGGUUGAAGUUCCCACCCUUGUGAACACUGAAUCUGUCUCAGAAGGGAUAUUCACGAACAGCUCCUGAAUGUAUAUGACUGUGGUGUGGUCCUGGCAGGCGCAUGCCUUUGCGAGGAACAGUGGGACUGCCUGCCUUUGGUGCAGCUUGUUUCUGGAAAUGAGAGGCGGCCAGGACCAGUCACCCACACUGUGAGACCCAAGACCAAGUCCCCUGAGGGCCAUACUCUACUUGAACCUGAGCUAACACUGGCUAGCUCGCCCUUACGAUGAUGUGAACGCAGACCCCGGUCCGAGUUGGCAGUGCGACAGGGUGCUUGCAAUUCUGCAAGAUGGCAAGGUUCCUUUGCCUCUGCCCAGCAGUGUCCUGAGUGGCUGCCCACGCUUGUGACAGUCAUUGUUUUCCGUUACAUACCUAAAUCAAAAACUCCAUUUUAAGGAUUAAGGUUGACAUUUCACCUGCCGUCUCUGUCCCAGCCAAUGCCAGCACCGACAUCUGGGUGAAGAAGGGCAGGUGUCAACCUUCCGCUCAAAAGGCACAAGAAAAUUACAAGAGAGAAAUUUUAAUAACUAAAUAUUUCUAUUUUUCAAUUUGUAUUUUUUCAAUUUUGAAUUUAAAGUAUGAACUCUAGUAUCAUCCGUGUUUGUGUUGUAUUCCAUGCGUUCACCAUAGCUCAGUAAAGAUCCAAUUUGAUUA
rnacentral:lncRNA from 1 species